GAUGAACGCUAGCUACAGGCUUAACACAUGCAAGUCGAGGGGCAGCAUGGUCUUAGCUUGCUAAGGCCGAUGGCGACCGGCGCACGGGUGAGUAACACGUAUCCAACCUGCCGUCUACUCUUGGACAGCCUUCUGAAAGGAAGAUUAAUACAAGAUGGCAUCAUGAGUCCGCAUGUUCACAUGAUUAAAGGUAUUCCGGUAGACGAUGGGGAUGCGUUCCAUUAGAUAGUAGGCGGGGUAACGGCCCACCUAGUCUUCGAUGGAUAGGGGUUCUGAGAGGAAGGUCCCCCACAUUGGAACUGAGACACGGUCCAAACUCCUACGGGAGGCAGCAGUGAGGAAUAUUGGUCAAUGGGCGAGAGCCUGAACCAGCCAAGUAGCGUGAAGGAUGACUGCCCUAUGGGUUGUAAACUUCUUUUAUAAAGGAAUAAAGUCGGGUAUGCAUACCCGUUUGCAUGUACUUUAUGAAUAAGGAUCGGCUAACUCCGUGCCAGCAGCCGCGGUAAUACGGAGGAUCCGAGCGUUACCCGGAUUUAUUGGGUUUAAAGGGAGCGUAGAUGGAUGUUUAAGUCAGUUGUGAAAGUUUGCGGCUCAACCGUAAAAUUGCAGUUGAUACUGGAUAUCUUGAGUGCAGUUGAGGCAGGCGGAAUUCGUGGUGUAGCGGUGAAAUGCUUAGAUAUCACGAAGAACUCCGAUUGCGAAGGCAGCCUGCUAAGCUGCAACUGACAUUGAGGCUCGAAAGUGUGGGUAUCAAACAGGAUUAGAUACCCUGGUAGUCCACACGGUAAACGAUGAAUACUCGCUGUUUGCGAUAUACAGCAAGCGGCCAAGCGAAAGCGUUAAGUAUUCCACCUGGGGAGUACGCCGGCAACGGUGAAACUCAAAGGAAUUGACGGGGGCCCGCACAAGCGGAGGAACAUGUGGUUUAAUUUGAUGAUACGCGAGGAACCUUACCCGGGCUUAAAUUGCAGAUGAAUUACGGUGAAAGCCGUAAGCCGCAAGGCAUCUGUGAAGGUGCUGCAUGGUUGUCGUCAGCUCGUGCCGUGAGGUGUCGGCUUAAGUGCCAUAACGAGCGCAACCCUUGUUGUCAGUUACUAACAGGUUCCGCUGAGGACUCUGACAAGACUGCCAUCGUAAGAUGUGAGGAAGGUGGGGAUGACGUCAAAUCAGCACGGCCCUUACGUCCGGGGCUACACACGUGUUACAAUGGGGGGUACAGAGGGCCGCUACCACGCGAGUGGAUGCCAAUCCCAAAAACCUCUCUCAGUUCGGACUGGAGUCUGCAACCCGACUCCACGAAGCUGGAUUCGCUAGUAAUCGCGCAUCAGCCACGGCGCGGUGAAUACGUUCCCGGGCCU
rnacentral:rRNA from 1 species